rnacentral:misc_RNA from 1 species
AGCAGCCGCGGUAAUUCCAGCUCCAAUAGCGUAUAUUAAAGUUGUUGCAGUUAAAAGCUCGUAGUUGAAUUUCGGGAUCAAUAUGCUGGUCGUGCCAUUGGUACGUACUAGUAUUAUUGGUUUCUCCUUUCUGAUGAAUCAUGAUGUCAUUAAUUUGAUGUCAUGAGGAAUCAGGACUGUUACUUUGAAAAAUUAGAGUGUUUAAAGCAGGCUCGCGCUUGAAUACAUUAGCAUGGAAUAAUGAAAUAGGAUGUUUGAUUCUAUUUUGUUGGUUUCUAGGAUUGACGUAAUGAUUAAUAGGGAUAGUUGGGGGCAUUAGUAUUCAAUUGUCAGAGGUGAAAUUCUUGGAUUUUAUUGAAGACUAACUGCUGCGAAAGCAUUUGCCAAGGAU